UACGAAGGGGGCUAGCGUUGCUCGGAAUCACUGGGCGUAAAGGGUGCGUAGGCGGGAUCUUAAGUCAGAGGUGAAAGCCUGGAGCUCAACUCCAGAACUGCCUUUGAUACUGGGAUUCUUGAGUUCGGGAGAGGUGAGCGGAACUGCGAGUGUAGAGGUGAAAUUCGUAGAUAUUCGCAAGAACACCAGUGGCGAAGGCGGCUCACUGGCCCGAUACUGACGCUGAGGCACGAAAGCGUGGGUAGCAACAGG
rnacentral:rRNA from 1 species